rnacentral:rRNA from 1 species
AAUGAACGCUAGCGGCAGGCUUAAUACAUGCAAGUCGAGGGGCAGCAUGAUUGUAGCAAUACAAUUGAUGGCGACCGGCAAACGGGUGCGGAACACGUACACAACCUUCCAACAAGUGGGGGAUAGCCCAGAGAAAUUUGGAUUAAUACCCCGUAACAUAGCGAUGUGGCAUCACAUUGCUAUUAUAGAUUUUUCGCUUGUUGAUGGGUGUGCGGCUGAUUAGAUAGUUGGCGGGGUAACGGCCCACCAAGUCUACGAUCAGUAGCUGAUGUGAGAGCAUGGUCAGCCAAGCGGGCACUGAGACACGGGCCCGACUCCUACGGGAGGCAGCAGUAAGGAAUACUGGACAAUGGACGCAAGUCUGAUCCAGCCAUGCCGCGUGAAGGAUUAAGGUCCUCUGGAUUGUAAACUUCUUUUAUAAGGGACGAAAAAAGGCUUUUCUAAGUCGUCUGACGGUACCUUAUGAAUAAGCACCGGCUAACUCCGUGCCAGCCGCCGCCGUAACAC